UACGGAGGGUGCAAACGUUGCUCGGAAUCAUUGGGCGUAAAGCGCACGUAGGCGGUUUGUUAAGUCGGGUGUGAAAGCCCCAGGCUCAACCUGGGAAGGGCACUCGAAACUGGCGAGCUUGAGUACGGAAGAGGGUCUCGGAAUUCCCGGUGUAGAGGUGAAAUUCGUAGAUAUCGGGAGGAACACCAGUGGCGAAGGCGGAGACCUGGGCCGAUACUGACGCUGAGGUGCGAAAGCGUGGGGAGCAAACAGG
rnacentral:rRNA from 1 species